rnacentral:rRNA from 1 species
GACGAACGCUGGCGGCGUGCCUAAUACAUGCAAGUUGAGCGCUGAAGGUUGGUACUUGUACCAACUGGAUGAGCAGCGAACGGGUGAGUAACGCGUGGGGAAUCUGCCUUUGAGCGGGGGACAACAUUUGGAAACGAAUGCUAAUACCGCAUAAAAACUUUAAACUCAAGUUUUAAGUUUGAAAGAUGCAAUUGCAUCACUCAAAGAUGAUCCCGCGUUGUAUUAGCUAGUUGGUGAGGUAAAGGCUCACCAAGGCGAUGAUACAUAGCCGACCUGAGAGGGUGAUCGGCCACAUUGGGACUGAGACACGGCCCAAACUCCUACGGGAGGCAGCAGUAGGGAAUCUUCGGCAAUGGACGAAAGUCUGACCGAGCAACGCCGCGUGAGGGAAGAAGGUUUUCGGAUCGUAAAACUCGGUUGGUAGAGAAGAACGUUGGUGAGAGUGGAAAGCUCAUCAAGUGACGGUAACUACCCAGAAAGGGACGGCUAACUACGUG